rnacentral:sRNA from 1 species
UAUUCUGCCCCACGGGGAAGGAUGAGAAGCUUCGAUUAAGGUUCGACUCGAGCGAAGCGAGAGAACGUUGCCGCAGGCAACGGCCCGAAGGGCGAGGCGCUUUAGCGCCGAGUAAUCCUUCCCCCACCACCA